rnacentral:rRNA from 1 species
GCAUGAACGCUGGNGAGAUGCUUUACACAUNCUCAGUCGUACGAGAGUCUUUGACUNACGUGNCGGACGGGUGAGUAACACGUAAGAAUUUGCCUUUANGAGGGGGACNACAGCNNGAAACNGCUGCUAAUACCCCACANGCUUUCUAGUGAAANGGAUUUUUNCGCCNAGAGAGAAGCUUGCGGCUGAUUAGCUUGUUGGUAAGGUAAUGACNUACCAAGGCGACGAUCAGUAUCUGGUUUGAGAGGAUGAUCAGACACACUGGAACUGAGACACGGUCCAGACUCCUGCGGGAGGCAGCAGUGGGGAAUUUUCCNNUNUGGGCGAAAGCCUGACGGAGCAAUCUCGCGUGAGGGGAUGACUGCCUAUNGGUUGUAAACCUCUUUUUUCAUGNUAGGAAUAAAUGACGUGUACCCUGA